rnacentral:lncRNA from 1 species
GUGGGUAUGAGCGUAAGUGGAAGACAUGUUUUGAAUAAUUUCCUUGGUGUUGGCUCUUUACAUUUAUUAAUUCGUUUUGUUUUAUGAGAUAGUCUCUGUGUUGUCCAGCCUCAAACUCAUGGCAGUCCUGCCUCAGACUCCUGAAUGCUGGGAUCAUAUUCUAAGUCUGCCUUAUUAAUUAAUUGAUUAGUAAUUAAUUAAUUGGUUGUUCUGUUUUUUUAAAAAAAAAGAUUUACUUUUAUUUCUAUGUGUGCGUGUGUCAUUUGUAUGUGGAUCCACACAAAGGCCAGACAGUAGUGUCGGGUCACCUGGAGUUAGAGUUACAGGUAGAGAGCCACCUGAUGUGGGCUCUGAGAACCGAUUAUCUCUCUAGCCUGUACCUGUGGCUUAGUGCGUACUCCACAAUUGCCCUAUCCUAAGCCUGAGAAUCCACUUCUUUAGACUAUUACUUUUUCCUUUUUCAUUUUGUUCUGAAGUAAAAAAAGUCAUUUUUAUAGUCUUAGUUUGAAUCUCAAGAUAUAGAAGUAAAAAAGUAUUAGUGUUCUUUACUAUCACAUGGCAAGGUGUGCUAUGCCAGAAUCCUAGGAUCGGGAGACAGUAGUCUUUAAACCACUACACUAUAUGUGCUUGAUCUGAUGCUCAAGAGCGCUUGAUAAGGACUUAUGUGAUUGACCCCUGCAGCCUCCUCUCCUGCCACCAGAAGAAUGUGUCUGACACACCAGACAUCCCAUUACAGAUGGUUGUGAGUUACCAUGCAUGUGGUUGUUGGCAGUUAAUCUCAGGACCUCUGCAGUAGCAGUCAGGGCUCUUGACCGCUGAGCCAUCUCUCCAGCCCUUCCUUUUGAUACUAUGGGUAGCAGACACCCUCAUCUUACCCUCAGGACUAUUUUUUUUUAAAACCUAUAGUGUCUCAGGCUUGUCAUUUCCUUGAAGAUUCUUUCUUUCAAGGCCCAGCUCUAACCCCUCUUCUCUGUGACUCCCUCCCUUGCUUCCUAGUCUCUGUGUUGUUUGUACUAGGCUGGGCUUCAUGAGGGACAGCCUGCUUGCCUUAUGGUUCCAGCUCAAUAGAACCUUCUAUUUUGACUUUUAUAGCAUAUUUUUAAAAAUUAUCAUGUACUACACUUAUUUACUUGUGCCUGUGCCAUGGCAUGCUUGUGGAGAUCAGAGGACAGAUUAUAAGAUGUUCUCUCCUCCCUUUCCCACGUAGCUCCUGGAGACCAGACUCAGGUCCUCAGGCUUGUUGGCAAUCUUGCUAGUCCUGACUUCUACAGUAUUUAAGUUUCAAAAUAUACUAGAGACCAGCUUGGAAUCUCAUUACAAAUACAGAUGUUAGCCUUGCUUAUGUGUCUUUUCUCUUUGUAACAAGCUGUGUUCCUAUUGGUUCAGUGAUUGUUGCUAGCCAUCUAUAAUUAUUCAUAGGCAAAGAACCAGAAAUGAGCAAGGAUUACUUGUUUAUCCAUCUCUGUAAUUAUAAUGUGGUCCCACUGCAAUUAUCCUGAUCCAAGAAUGUCCCUUAUUAUUUAUUUACUUAUUUAUUUAUUUAAUAACUAUUAUUUAUUAUAAUAGAUAUUCUCCAAGAGCCUAUAAAAUAUUGUCUGGCUUAUUUUCCAUAUUCUUCCUUUAGAAUGUAUACAAAAAAUUUGUGCUUUUUUUCUUUUCUUUUUUUCUUUAUUUUUUUAAGACAGGGUCUUUCUAUGUAGCCAAGUUGGUCUCAAACUUUUGAUUGUCCCACCUUAGCAAUGUUAAUAUUAAGGCUGUAAGCCACCACAGACAGCAUAGAUAUCAUACUU